GAUGAAGAACGUAGCGAAAUGCGAUACGUAAUGUGAAUUGCAGAAUUCAGUGAAUCAUCGAGUCUUUGAACGCACAUUGCGCCCCCUGGUAUUCCGGGGGGCAUGCCUGUCCGAGCGUCAUUGCUGCCCUCAAGCACGGCUUGUGUGUUGGGCCUCCGUCCUCCUCCCGGGGGACGGGCCCGAAAGGCAGCGGCGGCACCGCGUCCGGUCCUCGAGCGUAUGGGGCUUCGUCACCCGCUCUUGUAGGCCCGGCCGGCGCUUGCCGACACAUCAAUCUUUUUUCCAGGUUGACCUCGGAUCAGGUAGGGAUACCCGCUGAACUUAAGCAUAUCAAUAAGCGAAGGA
rnacentral:misc_RNA from 1 species